rnacentral:rRNA from 1 species
GAUGAACGCUGGCGGCGUGCCUAAUACAUGCAAGUCGAGCGAAGAGGGGACGGGUGAGUAAAACGUGGAUAACCUCCUAUAAGACUGGGAUAACUUCGGGAAACCGGAGCUAAACCGGAUACUUAUAGAUGGAUCCGCGCUGGAUUUGCUGGUUGGUAAGGUAACGGCUAACCAAGGCAACGAUGCAUAGCCGACCUGAGAGGGGGAUCGCCACAACGGGAACUGGGACACGGUCCAGACUCCAACGGGAGGCACAAGGAGGGAAUCUCCCGAAAGGAGCGAAAGCCUAACGGAGAAACGCCGCGUGGGGAAGAAGGGUCUUCGGAUCGAAAGACUCUUUAAUUGGGAAGGCGGUACCUAAACAGAAAGCCACGGCUAACUACGUGCCAGCAGCCGCGGUAAUAC